GGUGCCAAUUUUGACCCCAGGGCUUUUAUUUGGACAAACUUUGUAGACACUCACUAAAAGAUGUUUCAUGCUUAAUAUCUUAACUCUAGCUAUUUGGGUUUUUUCAAAGAAGAUUUUUUAAGUUUUUACUAUACACAUAUAGUUAAAAACAAUGACACCCCUGGGGCCGGGCCAGUUUUGACCCCAGGGCUUUUAUUUGAACAAACUUUGUAGACACUUACUAGAAAAUGUUUCAUGCUUAAUAUCUAAACUCUAGCUAUUUGGGUUUUUUCAAAGAAGAUUUUAAGUUUUUGCUAUACACAUAUAAAGAAAAUCAAUGACCCCCGAGGCGGGGCCAAUUUUGACCCCAGGUCUUUUAUUUGAACAAACUUUGUAGACAC